rnacentral:rRNA from 1 species
GACGAACGCUGGCGGCGUGCUUAACACAUGCAAGUCGAGCGAUGAAGCACCUUCGGGUGUGAAUUAGCGGCGAACGGGUGAGGAACACGUGAAGAAUCUGCCUUCAACUCUGGGAUAACUCCGGGAAACCGGGGCUAAUACCGGAUAUGAGCCUUGAUCGCAUGAUCGGGGCUGGAAAGUUUUUCGGUUGAAGAUGACUUCGCGGCCUAUCAGCUUGUUGGUGAGGUAAUGGCUCACCAAGGCGACGACGGGUAGCCGGCCUGAGAGGGCGACCGGCCACACUGGGACUGAGACACGGCCCAGACUCCUACGGGAGGCAGCAGUGGGGAAUAUUGGGCAAUGGAGGAAACUCUGACCCAGCGACGCCGCGUGAGGGAUGAAGGCCUUCGGGUUGUAAACCUCUUUCAGUAGGGAAGAAGCGAAAGUGACGGUACCUACAGAAGAAGCACCGGCUAACUAUGUGCCAGCAGCCGCGGUAAUACAUAGGGUGCAAGCGUUGUCCGGAAUUAUUGGGCGUAAAGAGCUCGUAGGUGGUUCGAUACGUCGGAUGUGAAAAUCAGGGGCUCAACCCCUGACCUGCAUCCGAUACGGUCGAGCUGGAGUUUGGUAGGGGAGACUGGAAUUCCUGGUGUAGCGGUGGAAUGCGCAGAUAUCAGGAGGAACACCGAUGGCGAAGGCAGGUCUCUGGGCCAAUACUGACACUGAGGAGCGAAAGCGUGGGGAGCGAACA